rnacentral:rRNA from 1 species
UAGGGAAUAUUAGUAAUGGGCGAAAGCCUGAACUAGCAACGCCGCGUGUGCGAAGAAGGCCUUCGGGUUGUAAAGCACUUUUUGAGAGGAUGAGGAAGGACGGUACUCUCAGAAUAAGUCUCGGCUAACUACGUGCCAGCAGCCGCGGUAACACGUACGAGGCAAACGUUAUCCGGAUUUACUGGGCGUAAAGCGCGUGUAGGUGGUUUGGUAAGUAGGGCGUGAAAGCUCCUGGCUGAACUGGUAGAGGAAGUUCUAAAAUGCCUAGCUUGAGGAUGGUGGAGGGAGGUGGAAUUCCGGGUGUAGCGGUGGAAUGCGCAGAUAUCCGGAGGAACGCCAGUGGCGAGUGCGGCCUCCUGGACCACUCCUGACACUCAGACGCGAAAGCUAGGGUAG